UCUAAGAACAUAUGUGUAAACAUGAAUCUGCGAACGGCUCAUUAUUAACACCCGUAAUCUACCCAGUUUUCAUAUCCAAAACGGAUAUCUGCGUUAAUUUUGGAGCUAAUACGUGCACCAACGUACCGCUAGCAAUAGUGGUAUGCACUUGUUAGUUUAAGACCGACUGGGGCAACCCGAUUGGUGACUCUGAACAAUUUUGCGGAUCGCAUGGUUUUAUACCGGCGACGUACUGGUCGAGCGGGUGCCCUAUCAACUAUUGAUGGAAGUCUAUGUGUCUUCCAUGGUUGUAACGGGUAACGGAGAAUCAGGGUUCGACUCCGGAGAGCUAGCCUUAGAAACGGCUAUCACAUCCAAGGAAGGCAGCAGGCGCGUAAAUUACCCACUCUCAAUUCGAGGAGGUAGUGACUAUCAAUAACGAGACAGAUCUCUUUGAGGUCUGUCAUUGAAAUGAGCACAACUUAAAGACUUUAACGAAGUCUAUGGGAGGGCAAGUCUGGUGCCAGCAGCCGCGGUAAUUCCAGCUCCCAACGUGUAUAUCGUCAUUGCUGCGGUUAAAAAGCUCGUAGUUGGAUCUUAGCUUAUGACAGUAGUUCACCAUGUGUGAUACUGCGUGUCUGAGCUGUUUCGCCGGUUUUCCUUGGUUUCGGCCUUGGUGACUGGUGUUGUAACUUUGAUUAAAUCAAUGUGAUUAAAACAGGCGUUUGCUUGUAUGCUUUAUCAUGGAAUAAUAGAAUAUGACUUCGGUCCAUUCUGUUGGUCUUGGGUUCGAAGUAAUGAUUAAAAGGAACAACUCGGGGGCAUCCGUAUCGCUGCGUGAGAGGUGAAAU
rnacentral:rRNA from 1 species